rnacentral:rRNA from 1 species
UACGUAGGGGGCAAGCGUUGUCCGGAUUCAUUGGGCGUAAAGAGCGUGUAGGCGGCCAGGUAGGUCGGUUGUGAAAACUGGAGGCUCAACCUUCAGAGGUCGACCGAAACCAUCUGGCUAGAGUCCGGGAGAGGAGAGUGGAAUUCCUGGUGUAGCGGUGAAAUGCGCAGAUAUCGGGAGGAACACCAGAGGCGAAAGCGGCGCACUGGACGAUUACUGACACUCAACUGCGAAAGCGUGGGGAGCAAACAGG